GGCGGAUCCCUGUUAGCGGUCCUGUGGGCCGCUGGACGGGUGUGCUCUAGUUUCAUGUGGCGCUCGAUCAUGACUAGAGUCACACUCGUCCAGCGACCGGGACAUCCUCGUC
rnacentral:pre_miRNA from 1 species